GACGAACGCUGGCGGCGUGCUUAACACAUGCAAGUCGAACGGAAAGGCCCUUCUUUUCUGGGGUGCUCGAGUGGCGAACGGGUGAGUAACACGUGAGUAACCUGCCCUUGACUUUGGGAUAACUUCAGGAAACUGGGGCUAAUACCGGAUAGGAGCUCCUUCUGCAUGGUGGGGUUGAGAAAGUUUCGGCGGUUGGGGAUGGACUCGCGGCUUAUCAGCUUGUUGGUGGGGUAGUGGCUUACCAAGGCUUUGACGGGUAGCCGGCCUGAGAGGGUGACCGGCCACAUUGGGACUGAGAUACGGCCCAGACUCCUACGGGAGGCAGCAGUGGGGAAUAUUGCACAAUGGGCGGAAGCCUGAUGCAGCAACGCCGCGUGCGGGAUGACGGCCUUCGGGUUGUAAACCGCUUUCGCCAGUGACGAAGCGCGAGUGACGGUAAUGGGUAAAGAAGCACCGGCUAACUACGUG
rnacentral:rRNA from 1 species